AAAGUUUUGAGUGAGCGUUUUUUGGAGGUAGACCUAGGGCCAAUCGAAGAGGACGUUGAUUGGUUUACAGUUGAGUUUGUGUUGUCUUGAUUGAGUUUCUUGCAUGCAAGUAAAUACUUCACAUGUGCUUUACUUAUUGCUCUGGGAGGGGAACAUGUUUUAGGAGAUAACGGCACCUCAGUGGUCAUUAGCCAGCUUCGCUUCUCAUGGCUGACCCCCAAGACUGUUGCUACAAUUUAGAGCUUUGCCUCAUCAUCCUUUGAGAUUUGUUGGUCUUGCAUGCGACAGUGAUAUCGGUUAUAUGGUCUCCAUGCUCUAGUGCUUCAUGGCUUUUCUGUUGGGUUGCUUGUUGUUGCCGUUUAGGGUUGACAUUUGGGCAAUAGUUUUGCUGGGACUUCUCCAGCCUUUAUCGUUG
rnacentral:misc_RNA from 1 species